rnacentral:rRNA from 1 species
CAGCCGCCGCGGUAAUACGUAGGUGGCAAGCGUUGUCCGGAAUUAUUGGGCGUAAAGGGCUCGCAGGCGGUUUCUUAAGUCUGAUGUGAAAGCCCCCGGCUCAACCGGGGAGGGUCAUUGGAAACUGGGAAACUUGAGUGCAGAAGAGGAGAGUGGAAUUCCACGUGUAGCGGUGAAAUGCGUAGAGAUGUGGAGGAACACCAGUGGCGAAGGCGACUCUCUGGUUUGUAACUGACGCUGAGGCACGAAAGCGUGGGUAGCAAACAGGAUUAGAUACCCCUGUAGUCCCUGUCUCUUAUAC